rnacentral:lncRNA from 1 species
UGACCAUGGACAUGGGACAAGGCUACAGAAAUUCUCAGACUCCAGAAGAUGGAUCCAUGGUAGAUGUUAAUGUGCCGCCCUUGCUCUAGCUGCAUGAUGUCAUGAUUUUGCCUUAGACCUGGUAGGUGAUGCCCUGUGGAUCCCACCCCGUGACUACUGAGUCAGCAAGCCUGGGAACUGACCUUGAGAGCAAGCUCCCUAGGGGAUUAUCCUGCCCACCGAGGAUGGAGGGCCCUGGAGAGGCACAUCCACAAGGACUCCCGGAGACCCACGUGCCAGGAGCUGCAGGCCCAGGGCAGCAGCAGGGCGACCCGCAGCAGGAGGGCUGCCCUUCAUCGCUCCAUCCUUUCAUCAGCCCUGAUCCUCCCAUCAGCCACAGAGAGGCUUCCGGUCAUAAUCAUCUGGAGAGACACAUUGGCAGAGAGACUACCUUAAUACAAUGGGGUAAGAGUAUCACUGGCAGCCAGGGGAGGGGCACGGGUGUGUGGUGGGUGGGAGAAGAGGCGAGGGGGAAAAUUGUCUAGAGGAAAUAAGGAUUGUCUGGGCUAAGCCAGUUCCCAAAGGGAAAGCCCUAGGGUGAGGGCAGGAAUGCAUUGGUUACGU